CUUUUGAGAAAUAUCUAUUCAGGUCCUUUGCUCAUUUUUCAUUUUUUUUUUUUUUCACUAUUGACAUAUUGUGUCCGAAAUUGGUGGGUUCUUGGUCUUAAUGACUUCAAAAAUGAAGCCACGGGCCCUCACGGUGAGCGUUACAGUUCUUAAAGAUGGUGUGUCUGGAGUUUGUUCCAUCUGAUGUUUGGACGUGUUUGGAGUUUCUUCCUUCUGGUGGGUUCCUGAUCUCGCUGGCUUCAGCAGUGAAGUUGCAGACCUUCACGCUUUGAGAACUAGAUUAAGUAAUUCCUGCAAGGCAAACCAAGUGAUGAUGAGCUCUCUCAGCUUCUGUUUGUCUGAUAAACUUUCUAUUCUCUCUCACUUCUGAAGGAAAGCUUUGCCAGGGUUUCAUUCAUUUUAAAGCUAACAGAAAAACAACAGAUUUUUAUAAUUAAGUUCCUGAGAAACCAUGAUAAAUACAGCAUUACACAUACUGUCGAUGAUAUUUUGGAUUUUGUAAGACACCAGAGAUCAAAACAUGCCAAAUUGGACUUCUUGUCAUUGUCUAUACAAACAAAACUCACAGACAUCAAAGCCACUAUGACCAUGCUGCUGAUGCAAGGACUGGUCAGAGUGGCCUUAUCUGAUGCUGGUGAUCUCUGGGAUUGUUUAUAUAUUGUUUGCAUUCAACAGAAGAACAACAUGGCCUCAAUGUGGGUGCCAGACCAGCUUUGGGUAUCUUUCCUUCAAAGGAUGACAUACAAUAAAAACAUAUAUGGGAUGAUUACUAUUUGCUUCCAAGAAAAAUAUUGAAGUUUGCUAUUUCUUCAUCUCAAGGUAUGAGAAAACAAAUGUUUGCAUCAGAGUGGUAAAAGAGCUAUAAUAAUUUCAAAUUAACUAAAUGUUCAAUGGCCCUUUCCUUCAGAAAAGUAAAUGCCUCUGAUUUUGUACAACUAUUCUUAAAGUCACACUUUUCUACUCCUUAGACCAUAUAGCAUUCACAGCAUUGUCUUAGGAAAAUAAUGAAUAUAACAGAAGGCUUGUGCAAAAUGUAAAAUAUGCCAUCUCUUUGAGGAAUUGUGACUUUAGCAGUGUAAUAUACUAAUAUUCCAAAAUUGUAGAGAUACUUUUAUUUUUGUAGUUUGUUUUUAAAUCCCUAACUCUUCCUUCUGUGUAUGGAAAAAUCUAAAAGCUGUGAUAAUGAAAUCAAUUUCAUCCAAUACAACAUGAUUUAUAAUGCCUUCUGUACUUUGUAUUAGUUGAGGACAAGGUCAUGAAUCAAUGUAGAUGAAGGUUUUAUUUAACUUAAGCAUCAGUGUUUUUCCUCUGUCAAAAUUUUACUUAUCAGGCUAAUAUUUGAAAAGCAUUCUAAACUUUUUUCUGUUUCUCAAAACUUUAGCUGGAAAUAUUACUUCCCUGUGUUUGGUUGAGCAGAGUAGUAGGCAGUUCUUUGUUACUUAAUACUGUUUUAACAUUUCCUUCACUGCAAUCCCUCUAUUUUAAUAGCUUUAACAAAGGUCACAUUCAGAUUAGCUCAAAUCUAUUAGAGUACACUAUAAUAUGUUGGUUUUUCAUUGAAAAUUUAUUUAGACAUCCAUCUAGGAUUUUAGACCUUCAACCCAAGGAAAAUUUAUAUGAAUACAAUAUUUUUUGCCAUUAUUUACAAAAGUAAUAUAAAGGGUUCCUUAGGCAAUUACUUAUUCAGUAGUAGGAUUUGGAACAGUCUACUUACUAUCAUGUAAUUAUUUCAAUGUGUUACAGUUUUCUUCUGAUUGUAAUUAAUCUCUUUGCAUGAGUAUCAGAUAGAAUGACUAUCUGAUUUGUGGUAACCUGCUGGACUCACAGUGUCCAGUCUGCAGGUGGAGAAAAAUAAAUAUUUUUAUAAGAAAAAUGAAGCCUUCACCUUACCAGAUAAUUUUCACUUUGUCUAAAACAAUACUUUUUUUAUGUUUGAUGUAAUUUUUCACUCAAUUAUAAAGAGUUUUCUCUUCAACAGGAGAACCAAAUCCUUAAUAAAAUCAUUGAGUUUAAGAAGUCUCAAGGGAGAGAUCACAGCUAAUGUCUACUAGUUUACUAGAGGUCCAAAAACAGUACUAUUCACUGGCAAAUACUCAGAAUAUAUUUUUGAUUCGGUUAGAAGUGGUCUGAGUGGUUGUAUGAACUUUAUUUCUAUUUCUACCCUCAUCUCCAACAAAUUCAGAUGACUGUAUAUUAAAUUUUAUCUUAUUAAACUUCAAAUAUUUUCCUGAUUUGAAAGUAAUUUUUGUCAUCUCCUCAUUUGAAGUCACAUAUAAUUCAUGAUUAACUGUGAAAAAGUUUGAAUUUGAAUACUUUCCAGUCCCUUCUUCAGAGCACUUUUGAAUGCUAGCCUCUUGAUCACUGCAGCUGCAAUUGUAAAUAUAUACUGAGCUACCAGAAUCACAGAUAGCACAAACUCUUUAUUUUUUAAGAACCUUAAAAUUCAUUAUAAUUUGCAGGUAAA
rnacentral:lncRNA from 1 species